GCCUGCCCAGCAUCUGCGCUCGGCUCGCCAGGCCUGCGGCGCUGCCAUGGAGACACGGCCCAGCGGCCCCAGGCUCCGCCCCGGGAGCCCCGCCGCGCGUCGCCCCGCUGCGCGCAUCUCCGAGGCCCUCGACGAGCGGUGACUGGAGCCUCCCGGGAGCUGGAUGCUCGGAGCAGCAAGGCGGCCCUGGGGGCCCCUUCCGGUCCCGGGGCUGACGCCUGGCGGCGUCUCCGGGAACCCGCGCCGUUUCAAGCGCCGCUGGCUCCUGUUUCACAGAUGGAGACCCUGAAGCCUCAACAAGCAGCCUCCCCAGCACCACCCAGGGACUGAAAAAGCUGGCACUGGGCGCCCGUCUCACUCUCCACCCAGCUCCCAGGCUGCCCCACGGGACCAGCACCUUUGGGGAGAGACGAGACCUGAACAAACGCUGGGGCCGGAUCCCCAGGGUGGGUCAGAACAGCUGUUGCCCUGAAAGCUGGCCCGGACCGAUGCGUGCAGGGCGUGCCACCGGAGCUCCUUCCAGCUUGCGUCUGGGGCCACCAUGUCCCUUCCUCAGGGCGCUGGAUCCAUCUCUUCAAGCUCAGUGGUCCAGGCCAUGGUGGCAGAAUCACCCCCCAGGGUGUGACGCCUCGUCCCUGUCAAUUCCACACAGCUGCACCCGGAAUAGCUGUGGCCGGGCGCCGCUCUGACCUGUGUGCGGUCCCCUGAAUGGGUCUCAGGUGUCUUCAGAAUGGCAAGGCCGCCUCAUUUCCUCACCACACAACCCUCCUGAGGACGUUGCCUGCAAAUGGGCUGAAUUCCUAAUUUCUACCAUUCAGUUAAACGAGGGAUCCUUAAACCUCAAAGCUGGUUAAGCUGUCCGUUAAUUUAGUGCGCGUGGGCCGUCUCAGAACAGCAGGGUUCCCAGGAGUCCAGCGGGACAGGGGAGGGGAUGAGUGGCCGCGUCCCCCUGGCAGAGAAGGCCUUGUCUGAAGGUUACGCCCGCCUCCGGUACAGGGACACCUCCUUGCUCAUCUGGCAGCAGCAACAGCAGAAGUUGGAGUCGGUGCCACCUGGGACGUACCUGAGCAGGAGCCGAAGCAUGUGGUACUCACAGUAUGGAAAUGAGGCCAUCUUGGUCCGAGACAAAAACAAGCUCGAGGUCUCUAGGGACACAGGGCAGUCCAAGUUUUGCACAAUUAUGUAAUUCCGAUGUGAGCAUCUGAACCCAGGACCACACUUUGAGGAAAACAGACCUGGGUUUCAUUCAGUUGUCUUGUUGCUUUCCAAUCCUUGCUGGAAGAUUUUGAAUAAUGAAUGUGAAGAUCAAACUGUGGUGUUAAGAACCCAAGAAGUGCAGAAUUGGCCCCCGAGCCCCUCAGCACAGCCGCGGUGUGACUGGUGCACAGGACACUUCCCCUCUAGAGUACCCUCCGUGGUCAGCUGUUGCGACAUUCGAAUUCUCCAGCUGUGCAAGUUCAUUCGCAAACAUCCUAGAAGUGGAACUGCUGGGUCAAAGUGCAUUCCCUAAAUGUCCUGCCAGAGGCCUGGUCGGCAGCAGCCUCCUGCACAGCCCGAGUCCUUUCUGCGAGAUUCCUGGCUUGUUUGCAGCCUGCAGCUGGAAGACUUGAAGUCAGACUUCCAAGAUUGCCGCAUGGAGCUGCAGAGGGAGUGAGCAUGGGGCUGGAGGACCUGCCCCGCCGGCUGACACUCCCACAGCAAGGUGGGCCCGCCAAGGAAGCACUCCACAUCCGCUAGGUAGGGUUUGUCUACAUCUUUUCAGUUCUUCAGUUUAAGUCCUGCCCGGGAAGAAAGCAAACUCCAGAGGCAAAUCUGGAAUGCCUGUGUGCCACCUUCUCACCGCACCACAGACUCCUCUGAGGAUGGGUUGUGGCGGGGUUGGCCCCAAGCAUGGGAGGCAGCGCUGACACGCAGAAUGGGGUCUGAGGUCACGUUGCAGCGCUGGCAGGAUGUGUGCUCAAGGGCCAGUCUCUGCAGGGGUCAGGGCGUGUGGGCCACGCACAAGCCAGCUGGCACUAAGCCGCUUAGGCUGCAGGAAGACACCAUCUGCCUGGGACGGACAAGGCCCCAUGUCUGUCCUCAAGGAGGCUGGUCUGGAUGAGAAGGGUCAGUCUGGCCAAGAGUGGCACCGUGCCCCCGACCCCAUCUGGGGUCGGGUUGGACAGGUCCUCAGGCCUAGACGUGGGCCCAGCCAGACCUUCUCCCCUGGCAUGUCUCUUCCAGGCCUAGUUCCAGAGCUGUCAUUCUUCAGUGAGCCGCGCUGCACGCCAGCCUCUGCAGUCUGGCAGUUAAACCUCACUAUGAAAAUCUGCUUUUGGGAUUUUAUUUGCAUUUCCAUUAGACUGAGCACAUCACAGGAAGCCACUUCAGGAUAGACUGAGGUGCAGAGGGAGGGGACAAGUGGCCAGGUUGACUAGAAGAGCACAGAACCUGGCCGUCUCGAAGAGGGCAGCUUGUUCCAGGGAACCAAUGAACUGUCAGUAAAGGGGAUUGUAGCUUCCUAAUGAGACAAGAAAUGAUGCUCCCUUCAUCCUCCCAGGGCUCAGGACAAGAGCUACUUAAUGGUUUGGUUAUUAUUAUUUUUUAAGAGAUGUUGUCCAGGCUGGAGUGCAGUGAUGCAGUCAUGGCUUACUGCAGCCUCAAACUCCUGGCCUCAGGCCAUCCUCCUGCCUUGGCCUCCCAAAGUGCUGUGAUCACAGACACGAGCCACUGCAUCCUGCCUUUAAAUGGUUUUUUGGGGCCCCUUUUGGAUGCUCUGGGUGUUUUUGCCAAGAGUUACAGGAUGUCAAGUGUGGGGAGCUCAGCACCCUCACUGUGGACCAGUGAAGGCUGUUCCAGACCAGGUGCUUCCAGACAUUUCCAGGCUCCAGGAGAGAGGCUGGGAGCCCCCACAGAAAGCACAGCAAAAUGCAAAAAAAAAAACAGUCUUUUUUUUUUUUUUGCUUUUUAUUAUGAAAACAAAACAAAUGCCCCAGGAGAAGGGUCCAUGAUUACCAGAAACAUCAAAGAGUACUUUCUACCAUUUUUAUUCUGUUGUGUUGAGGCCAGCAUUGCAAUAAACAAGCUAAACUACUUA